GUUAUCUUAACGGAAUUCCUGUGCAGUACGAGAGGAACCACAGGUACGGACCACUGGCUCAAUACUAGUUCGAACGGACUAUGGUAUGACGCUACGUCCGCUGGAUUAUGCCUGAACGCCUCUAAGGUCGUAUCCAAUCCGAGCUGAUAGCGCUUCUAUACCCAUUAGGUGGUCGAUAAGCUAGCGGGCCUAACAACCCUCCCGAGAACCGUCCGUGCUGUCCAUUGGCACACUGGCGUCUCAUCCCCGCUUACUACUAGGCCGCAAAGGGCGGGUUCGCGCUGCACGUGUUAGUACCAUACAUGUUGGGAACACCGGUGGACGAGCUUGCCGACUGUGGAUAUCACUAGUUUCGACACCUACGACCGCCCGCAAACGACGGGACUACAGGCUGGGAGCUUCAAGUUGUAGAGAUGCGUUCGCAUCGAUCCUCUCAGGCGACCCAUGCUUGGUGGUUA
rnacentral:rRNA from 1 species